UACGUAGGGCGCAAGCGUUGUCCGGAAUUACUGGGCGUAAAGCGUGCGCAGGCGGUUCGUUGUGUCUGAUGUGAAAGCCCCGGGCUUAACCUGGGAAUGGCAUUGGAAACUGGCGAGCUGGAGUGUGGCAGAGGGGGGUGGAAUUCCGCGUGUAGCAGUGAAAUGCGUAGAGAUGCGGAGGAACACCGAUGGCGAAGGCAGCCCCCUGGGCCAACACUGACGCUCAGGCACGAAAGCGUGGGGAGCAAACAGG
rnacentral:rRNA from 1 species